rnacentral:rRNA from 1 species
GAUGAACGCUGGCGGCGUGCCUAAUACAUGCAAGUCGAGCGAACAGACGAGGAGCUUGCUCCUCUGACGUUAGCGGCGGACGGGUGAGUAACACGUGGAUCACCUACCUAUCAGACUGGGAUAACUUCGGGACACCGGAGCUAAUACCGGAUAAUAUCUUGCACCGCAUUGUUCAAUAGUGAAAUACGGCUUUGCUGUCACUUAUAGCUGGAUCCGCGCCGCAUUAGCUAGUUGGUAAGGUAACGGCUUACCAAGGCAACGAUGCGUAGCCGACCUGAGAGGCGGAUCGCCCACCUGGGAGGGUGGACACGGUCCAGAGUACUAAGAGAGGCAGCAGUAGGGAAUCGGACGCAGCGGGCGAAAGUCUGACGGAGCAACGCCGCGUGAGUGAUGAAGGUCUUCGGAUCGUAAUACUCUGUUAUUAGGGAAGAACAAAUGUGUAAGUUACCAUGCACGUCGUGACGGUACCGAAUCAGAAAGCCACGGCUAACUACGUG